rnacentral:ncRNA from 1 species
UAAUUAGUUAAAAAUUAAUAAUACAGUUAAUUUUUAUUAAGAAAUACAAAUAAAUGUAUCUUAAAAACACCCAACUUUAUUUUAAAUAUAAAGAAUAAUAAAAUAAUAACUUACUAAUUCAUAAGUGCCAGCAGUAGCGGUUAUUCUUUAAGUUAAACUGUAUUCAAUAAAGUUAAACUUCCCUAAAACAAACUAUACAAAAAUAUUCAGUGAAAUACAAUUUUAAUAAAUAAUAUUACUAAACUUAACUAAAAUUUAAAAUAUAAAAUAGGAUUAGAUACCCUAGUAUAUUUAAACAAACUUAGGUAAUAAUAAAUUUUAAAAAAACCUAUUUAUAUUGGCGGCAAUUAAUCUUAUUAAAGGAACUUGUUUAAUAAUCGAUAACACACGUUUAAUUUCACUUAAAUCACUAAUUUAUAUACCGCCAUCUUAAGAAUUAACUUAACUAAGUUAUCCAAAAUACUACACUCUAAAAAGUUAGGUCAAGGUGUAAUUAAUAUUUCAGCUAAAAUGAGUUACAAUAAACAUUAUUUAAGAAUUUUUAAUCCCAAAAUUAAAAUGAAAAAGAAUUUAAAUGUAAUAUUUUAAUAAAAAUUAAAUAUGAAUAAGAUAACAAAUGUGCACAUAUCGCCCGUCACCCUAAUCCUAAGAUUAGGUAAGUCGUAACACAGUUAAUGUUUUGGAAAAAGCAUUAAG